rnacentral:rRNA from 1 species
AUACGGAGGAUGCAAGCGUUAUCCGGAUUUAUUGGGUUUAAAGGGUGCGUAGGCGGUUUGCUAAGCGGGAGGUGAAAUGCCGGCGCUCAACGUCGGAAGUGCCUCCCGAACUGGUGGACUGGAAUGACUCUGCCGUGGGAGGAAUGUGUAGUGUAGCGGUGAAAUGCUUAGAGAUUACACAGAACACCGAUUGCGAAGGCAUCUCACGAAGGGUUGAUUGACGCUGAGGCACGAAAGCGUGGGGAUCAAACAGGAUUAGAUACCCUGGUAGUCCACGCAGUAAACGGUGAUGGCUAACCGCUGGUUUAUUCGGAUCAGUGGCCAAGCGAAAGCGAUAAGCCAUCCACCUGGGGAGUACGACCGCAAGGUUGAAACUCAAAGGAAUUGACGGGG